rnacentral:rRNA from 1 species
UACGAAGGGGGCUAGCGUUGUUCGGAAUCACUGGGCGUAAAGCGCACGCAGGCGGAUCGUUAAGUCAGGGGUGAAAUCCCGAGGCUCAACCUCGGAACUGCCUUUGAUACUGGCGAUCUUUGAGUCCGGGAGAGGUGAGUGGAACUCCGAGUGUAGAGGUGAAAUUCGUAGAUAUUCGGAAGAACACCGGUGGCGAAGGCGGCCCACUGGCUCGAUACUGACGCUGAGGUGCGAAAGCGUGGGGAGCAAACAGG